rnacentral:lncRNA from 1 species
UCCGGAUUUUCUUUGAAGUACUGCGGCAAGAGCAGAUCAGGAAGCCAGCUCCUCAGGCUAUCACGAAGAAGAAGAAGAAGAAGAAGAAGAAGAAGAAUACCUUGUGGUGGACGUUGGAUUGGUCGAAGGCGCAGCCGACGGGGAAGGUGUCGCCAACGACGGCCCACUGGGGGAGCUGCCCGAAGGAGGGGUGGAGGAGGACCUUCCCCAGAUCUGAUUGCAGGAGAUGGGUCAGUCUGAGCGAUGAUAUGGUUGAAUUCGUCUCUCUCUCUCUCUCUCUCUCUCUCUCUCUCGCUAGCUAGCUCACCGUGGAUGAGGCCGGUAAGGUGGAGCCAGUCCUCAUCGGGGUAGUCCUUGCGGAUGGCCUCCGCCGUCUGCAGCAGGUGCUCGAUCUGCGGCUCGUCCAGGUCCGGGUCGCUCUCGUCCACGAACUCGUUGAGCAGCUCGCAGCACUCCCACACGCUCAUCUCCACCCG